rnacentral:rRNA from 1 species
GAGCGGAUUUGAUGGGAGCUUGCUCCCGUCAGUCAGCGGCGGACGGGUGAGUAACACGUGGGUAACCUGCCUGUAAGACUGGGAUAACUCCGGGAAACCGGGGCUAAUACCGGAUAACUCAUUUCCUCGCAUGAGGAAAUGUUGAAAGGUGGCUUUUAGCUAUCACUUACAGAUGGACCCGCGGCGCAUUAGCUAGUUGGUGAGGUAACGGCUCACCAAGGCGACGAUGCGUAGCCGACCUGAGAGGGUGAUCGGCCACACUGGGACUGAGACACGGCCCAGAYUCCUACGGGAGGCAGCAGUAGGGAAUCUUCCGCAAUGGACGAAAGUCUGACGGAGCAACGCCGCGUGAGUGAUGAAGGUUUUCGGAUCGUAAAACUCUGUUGUUAGGGAAGAACAAGUACCGUUCGAAUAGGGCGGUACCUUGACGGUACCUAACCAGAAAGCCACGGCUAACUACGUGCCAGCAGCCGCGGUAAUACGUAGGUGGCAAGCGUUGUCCGGAAUUAUUGGGCGUAAAGCGCGCGCAGGUGGUUCCUUAAGUCUGAUGUGAAAGCCCACGGCUCAACCGUGGAGGGUCAUUGGAAACUGGGGGACUUGAGUGCAGAAGAGGAAAGUGGAAUUCCAAGUGUAGCGGUGAAAUGCGUAGAUAUUUGGAGGAACACCAGUGGCGAAGGCGACUUUCUGGUCUGUAACUGACACUGAGGCGCGAAAGCGUGGGGAGCAAACAGGAUUAGAUACCCUGGUAGUCCACGCCGUAAACGAUGAGUGCUAAGUGUUAGGGGGUUUCCGCCCCUUAGUGCUGCAGCUAACGCAUUAAGCACUCCGCCUGGGGAGUACGGUCGCAAGACUGAAACUCAAAGGAAUUGACGGGGGCCCGCACAAGCGGUGGAGCAUGUGGUUUAAUUCGAAGCAACGCGAAGAACCUUACCAGGUCUUGACAUCCUCUGACAACCCUAGAGAUAGGGCUUUCCCCUUCGGGGGACAGAGUGACAGGUGGUGCAUGGUUGUCGUCAGCUCGUGUCGUGAGAUGUUGGGUUAAGUCCCGCAACGAGCGCAACCCUUGAUCUUAGUUGCCAGCAUUCAGUUGGGCACUCUAAGAUGACUGCCGGUGACAAACCGGAGGAAGGUGGGGAUGACGUCAAAUCAUCAUGCCCCUUAUGACCUG